rnacentral:rRNA from 1 species
AUUGAACGCUGGCGGCAGGCUUAACACAUGCAAGUCGAGCGGGGGAAGGUAGCUUGCUACCGGACCUAGCGGCGGACGGGUGAGUAAUGCUUAGGAAUCUGCCUAUUAGUGGGGGACAACAUCUCGAAAGGGAUGCUAAUACCGCAUACGUCCUACGGGAGAAAGCAGGGGAUCUUCGGACCUUGCGCUAAUAGAUGAGCCUAAGUCGGAUUAGCUAGUUGGUGGGGUAAAGGCCUACCAAGGCGACGAUCUGUAGCGGGUCUGAGAGGAUGAUCCGCCACACUGGGACUGAGACACGGCCCAGACUCCUACGGGAGGCAGCAGUGGGGAAUAUUGGACAAUGGGGGGAACUCUGAUCCAGCCAUGCCGCGUGUGUGAAGAAGGCCUUAUGGUUGUAAAGCACUUUAAGCGAGGAGGAGGCUACUUUAGUUAAUACCUAGGGAUAGUGGACGUUACUCGCAGAAUAAGCACCGGCUAACUCUGUGCCAGCAGCCGCCGCAG